GAUGAAGAACGUAGCGAAAUGCGAUAAGUAAUGUGAAUUGCAGAAUUCCGUGAAUCAUCGAAUCUUUGAACGCACAUUGCGCCCCCUGGCAUUCCGGGGGGCAUGCCUGUCCGAGCGUCAUUUCUGCCCUCAAGCACGGCUUGUGAGUUGGGUGUGGUCCCCCCGGGGACCUGCCCGAAAGGCAGCGGCGACGUCCGUCUGGUCCUCGAGCGUAUGGGGCUCUGUCACUCGCUCGGGAAGGACCUGCGGGGGUUGGUCACCACUAUAUUUUACCACGGUUGACCUCGGAUCAGGUAGGAGUUACCCGCUGAACUUAAGCAUAUCAAUAAGCGGAGGA
rnacentral:misc_RNA from 1 species